GACGAACGCUGGCGGCGUGCUUAACACAUGCAAGUCGAACGAUGAAGCUGGAGCUUGCUCCGGUGGAUUAGUGGCGAACGGGUGAGUAACACGUGAGCAAUCUGCCCUUGACUCUGGGAUAACUGCGGGAAACUGUAGCUAAUACCGGAUACGAGGCUCGAAGGCAUCUUCGGGUCUGGAAAGAAUUUCGGUCAAGGAUGAGCUCGCGGCCUAUCAGCUUGUUGGUGAGGUAAUGGCUCACCAAGGCGACGACGGGUAGCCGGCCUGAGAGGGUGACCGGCCACACUGGGACUGAGACACGGCCCAGACUCCUACGGGAGGCAGCAGUGGGGAAUAUUGCACAAUGGGCGAAAGCCUGAUGCAGCAACGCCGCGUGAGGGAUGAAGGCCUUCGGGUUGUAAACCUCUUUUAGCAGGGAAGAAGUGAAAGUGACGGUACCUGCAGAAAAAGCACCGGCUAACUACGUGCCAGCAGCCGCGGUAA
rnacentral:rRNA from 1 species